GGAUGGCUCAGUUGGUUAGAGUGUGGUGCUGAUUGAUAAUGCUAAGGUUGCAGGUUCAAUCCCCACAUGAGACA